rnacentral:tRNA from 1 species
GUCUUUGUAGUGUAACGGUAGCACACACGGCGCGUAUUCGAGAGGUCCAGGUUCGAGUCCCGGCGACGGCA